UACGUAGGUGGCAAGCGUUGUCCGGAAUUAUUGGGCGUAAAGCGCGCGCAGGUGGUUCCUUAAGUCUGAUGUGAAAGCCCACGGCUCAACCGUGGAGGGUCAUUGGAAACUGGGGAACUUGAGUGCAGAAGAGGAAAGUGGAAUUCCAAGUGUAGCGGUGAAAUGCGUAGAUAUCUGGAGGAAUACCGGUGGCGAAGGCGGCAUCCUGGACCGGUAUUGACGCUGAGGCGCGAAAGCCAGGGGAGCAAACGGG
rnacentral:rRNA from 1 species